UGAAGAACCGAAGCCAAUUUGUUCCUUCUCAAGUCAAGCAAUAUAAUUCUAGAUAUAAAACAUAGUAAGAUGACCAUUUAGCGUUCGACUACACAGAGAUGGACGAUUUGGCUUCGUGCAUGUCUCAUGUAUUUCAUUAACGAAAUAGGAAAAUAUAGAAAUGUCGUAUUAUAUUUAAUGAAAAGGUGACAUAAUUUUACUAUUGGUAAGCUAUGUAUAUCUGGCCAAUCUAAGGUAAAGACCUCUUUUGUUACGGAAUUUCAUAAGCCCCAUUUAGUCCCGGAAAAGUGAACAAUGUUUUUUUUAUUCCGCAAAGUGUUCACGUGGGAGAAGUCCGAAUGAUAUUUAUUUUCAAGAUAAAAUUCUUAGGUCUCUGCUCUUUUAGUCCAAUCGUAUUAUUUGUAUAGUUUUCGUGGCAAUUAAAAAUACUAUAUAAUAUAUAACAUUUCGACCUCCACCACGAUGUAUUAUUCAGUUUUUAUACAUUACAGCGGUGCGUGAACGCGAUAGACAAUUAUUGGUUUGCAAUACAUAUUCUUACAUAAAUAUCUAUAUUUCUUGUUAUGACAUGUAGAUUGUAUAUACUUGGUUUCUAGAAAAAGGAAAUUAUUUUGUCGACGUUCAUAAUGUUCAGAGAUGGAUCCAGGGAUUUGUAGGUUGGGUUUGGUACACAGAGAUAAAAUUUAGUCAAAAUAAUAGUUUAAGUCUUGAAUUUAUAACUCAUUAUAACAAUAUUUUUAUCUAAUGCUUUUGCGAGAUGUAUAAUAAAUGCUAUCAAAAUGAAGUCUGGGUUCCGCCUGUAAUACUGAUAUAUAUAGUUACACUUUUGUUAAUGGUCAAAUUGGGGUAUUUUAUAAAUGCUUGUCUGAGUUAUGAUCGCUCAAUGUAUAUUUUAUAAUUUAAUAAUUAUGGCAGAAGGUGCAUCGUGUUUUUAUAUGUAGAUGCAAAAUGGUCUCAAAAGGUGAUGUUUAUCAUAUUUUCUGUUCCGAGCGUCUCGGUGGUGUAGUUGUAUUGCGUGCGCAGUAGGACACCGUUCUGAAAUCCCGGGUUUGAGUUCUGGGUCGCAGUGAUAUUGGGUUUUUUGUUUAGUGCCAGCCUGGAGUCUGGAAUUUGUCCCUGAUAUAAUAGGCUCACUAAUCAUAGGAUUGAAUAAGUCCGUGCAGUCGAUGUCUUUAACUACAAUUUUAAGAAUAAAAUGCGGGGGUGGUAUUUCUUUAUUUUUUGUUCGACUGUUUUAUUAUAUAUUAUAUCGAACAUAAACUCAGAUAUUUUAAAACUAUAUUUAUAAUUACCAAAAUUAGACCAUAACAAAAAAUGACUUGUUAAAAUGGAUUUUGUUGUAAAUAGUGUUUCGUUCCUUACGUAUCUGAUGGUACAUUGUUUAAUAUUCUCGUAUAGUUAUAAAGAAUAAAGUAUUUACGUUAUAAGGUU